rnacentral:ncRNA from 2 species
AAUAGUCAAACGGGGGGCUGGCGUAAACCGGCUGAGAUUGGGCAGUGACCUGCCCUGACCCGCGAACCUGUACGGAUAAUGCCGGCGUAGGGAUUUGUCAGCAAGGGAAC